rnacentral:rRNA from 1 species
AUUGAACGCUGGCGGCAUGCCUUACACAUGCAAGUCGAACGGUAGAGGGGGCAACCCCUUGAGAGUGGCGAACGGGUGAGUAAUGCAUCGGAACGUGCCCAGUCGUGGGGGAUAGCCCGGGGAAACCCGGAUUAAUACCGCAUACGACCUGAGGGUGAAAGCGGGGGACCGGUACCGGCCUCGCGCGAUCGGAGCGGCCGAUGUCGGAUUAGCUAGUUGGUGGGGUAAAGGCCUACCAAGGCGACGAUCCGUAGCUGGCCUGAGAGGACGACCAGCCACACUGGGACUGAGACACGGCCCAGACUCCUACGGGAGGCAGCAGUGGGGAAUUUUGGACACUGGGGGCAACCCUGAUCCAGCCAUGCCGCGUGCGGGAAGAAGGCCUUCGGGUUGUAAACCGCUUUUGUCAGGGAAGAAAUCCUUUGGGCUAAUACCCUGGGGGGAUGACGGUACCUGAAGAAUAAGCACCGGCUAACUACGUGCCAGCCGCCGCCGUAA